GCUGGGUGUAGUGGCGUGCACCUGUAAUCCCAGCUAUUUGGGAGGCUGAGGUAGGAGAAUUGCUUGAACCCAGGAGACAGAGGUUGCAGUGAGCCAAGAUCUCGCCACUGCACUCUAGCCUGGGUGACAGAGGGAGCCUCCAUCUCAA
rnacentral:SRP_RNA from 1 species